UGUGACUGAAUGGGGGACGGGUGAUUAACGAUUGGGCCACCCGCCUCAGACCGGGGGAUAACGUUUACAAAUGUCUGCUAAUACCGCAUACCCACACAUCAUGGGAUGAUGCAGUGUGAAAAAACUCCGGCGGCCUGAAAUGGACCCCCGUCUGAUUCUCUAGAUGGUGGGGCAACGGCCUACCCAGGCAACGAUCAGGAUCCCACCUGAUAGGGAGACCGGCCCCAUUGCGACUGACACACGGUCCCAACUCCUACGGGAGGCACCAGUGGGGAAUAUUGCCCAAGGGGGGAAAUCUUGAUGCAGGGACCCCGCGUGAGGAAAGAAUUAUUUGGGUAGGUAAAUUUCUUUCACCAGGGAAGAAAAUGACGGUCCCUGAUUAAGAAGCCCCGGUUAAUUACGUGCCACCACCCGCGGUAAUACGUAGGGGCCAAGCUUUUUCCGGAUUUAUUGGGUGUAAAGGGAGGGUAGACGCAUGUCCAAGUAUGAAGUGAAAGCCCGGGGUUCAACCCCGGGACUCAUUUGGAAACUGUGUAUCUAGAGUUCCGGAGAGGUAAGCGGAAUUCCCAGUGUAGCGGUGAAAUGGGUAGAUAUUAGGAGGAACACCAGUGGGGAAGGCGGCUUACUGGACGAUCCACUGACGUUGAGGCUGGAAAGCGUGGGGAGCAACCAGGAUUAGAUCCCCUGGUAUUCCACCCCGUAAACGAUGAAUACUAGGUGUUGGCAGGUAAGACCUGUCGGUGCAGCAGGUAACUCAAUAAGUAUUCCACCUGGGGAGUACGUUCGCGAGAAUGAAAAUCAAAGGAACUGACGGGGACCCGCACAAGCGGUGGAGCAUGUGGUUUAAUUAGAAGCAACGAGAAGAACCUUUCCAAGUUCUGACAUCCGGAGGACAGAGAAUAUAAUGUCCUUUAUCUUGGGAGCAUCGGCGACAGGUGGUGCAUGGUGGUUGUCAGCUGGGUUUCAGUGACGAUGGGUCAAGUCCCCCUAUGAGCUCAACCCCUAUUCCCAGUAGCCAGCAUCUGGGACGGCCACUAUGUGGAGAUCGCCAGGGGCACCAUGGAGGAAGGCGGGGAUGAUGUCAAAUCAUCCUGCCCGUUAUGAGUGGGGCUACACACGUGCUAACAAUGGCGCUAAACAAAGGGAAGCGAGACCGCGAGGUGGAGCAAAUCGUAAAAAUACCGUCCCAGUUUCGGAUCUGUCGUGGGCAACUUGAGAACAAGAAGCUGGAAUCGCUAGUAAUGGCAGAUCAGAAUGAAGCGGUGAACAAGUUCCCGGCUUUAGCACACACCGCCCGUCA
rnacentral:rRNA from 1 species